UACGAAGGGGGCUAGCGUUGUUCGGAUUUACUGGGCGUACAGCGCACGUAGGCGGAUUGUUAAGUCGGGGGUGAAAUCCUGGAGCUCAACUCCAGAAUUGCCUUCGAUACUGGCUUUCUAGAGGCUGGAAGAGGUUAGUGGAAUUCCCAGUGUAGAGGUGAAAUUCGUAGAUAUUGGGAAGAACACCAGUGGCGAAGGCGGCUAACUGGUCCAGAUCUGACGCUGAGGUGCGAAAGCGUGGGGAGCAAACAGG
rnacentral:rRNA from 1 species